AAUGCUGCAAUCAAUAACUUUAUACACAUGUCAUUUCAUGUGAUUGUGAUUAUAUAUGUAGGAAAAAUUCCACAAAAGUGAAAUAGCAGAAUACUAAGGGCAUAUGCAUUUGUUGUUUUGAUAGACGCUGAAUGGCCCUUCAUGAUGCUCUUGUCAAUGUAUUCUCCUACAAUGCGGAGAGUGCCUUUUUCCUCAGGCCCUCCCCAACACAGCCAGUUACUAAUGUUGUCUUUGAGUGUUUAAUAGUUGUGAGGUGGUAUCUCAAUGUUUUAAAAUUUAAACUACAGAAAUAAAAAAAAAAUACUGGAA
rnacentral:lncRNA from 1 species